rnacentral:tRNA from 1 species
GAAUUCAUGCUUCCCAAGCAUGGGGCCCGGGUUCGAUUCCCGGCUUCCGCA